rnacentral:rRNA from 1 species
UACGGGGGGGGCAAGCGUUGUUCGGAAUUAUUGGGCGUAAAGCGUCCGCAGGUGGCGAUUCAAGUCUGCGGUCAAAGACUGGGGCUUAACCCUGGAAAGGCCGUGGAAACUGAAUAGCUAGAGUGCAGUAGGGGUAGAGGGAAUUCCCGGUGUAGCGGUGAAAUGCGUAGAGCUCGGGAAGAACAUCGGUGGCGAAAGCGCUCUGCUGGGUCAUGACUGACACUGAGGGACGAAAGCUAGGGGAGCGAAAGGG